GUGCCUAACACAUGCAAGUCGAGCGAGAAAGCUCCUUCGGGAGUUAGUAAAGCGGCGAACGGGUGAGCAACGCGUGAGAAUCUACCCUUUAGUGAAGAAUACCCUCGAGAAAUCGAGGCUAAUACUGCAUACGUCCCUUCGGGGAGAAAGAUGGCCUCUUUGCUAUCGCUAAAGGAUGAGCUUGCGUACUAUUAGCUAGUUGGUGAGGUAACGGCUCACCAAGGCAAUGAUGGUUAACCGGCCUGAGAGGGUGCACGGUCACACUGGAACUUAGACACGGUCCAGACUCCUACGGGAGGCAGCAGUGAGGAAUCUUGCGCAAUGGGCGAAAGCCUGACGCAGCGACGCCGCGUGAAGGAUGACGGUCUUCGGAUUGUAAACUUCUGUUAAGCGGGAAGAAAGACCUGUUUCUAAUACAGACAGGUUAUGACGGUACCGCUAGAGAAAGCACCGGCUAACUUCGUGCCAGCAGCCGCGGUAAUACGAGGGGUGCAAGCGUUAUUCGGAUUUAUUGGGCGUAAAGGGUGUGCAGACGGUAUAUUAAGUCACUUGUUAAAUUCUUCGGCCUAACUGAAGGUAUGCGGGUGAUACUGGUAAACUAGAGGGUGGAAGAGAGAAGUGGAAUUCUCGGAGUAGCGGUAAAAUGCGUAGAUCUCGAGAGGAACACCAAUGGCGAAGGCAGCUUCUGUGUCCAUAC
rnacentral:rRNA from 1 species